rnacentral:rRNA from 1 species
GACGAACCGAGCGAACGUUGUUCGGAAUCACUGGGCUUAAAGGGCGCGUAGGCGGGUGCUCAAGUCCGGGGUGAAAUCCCACGGCUCAACUGUGGAACUGCCUCGGAUACUGGGCGUCUCGAGGGUGGCAGGGGUAUGCGGAACUAUCGGUGGAGCGGUGAAAUGCGUUGAUAUCGAUAGGAACUCCGGUGGCGAAGGCGGCAUACUGGUCCACUUCUGACGCUGAGGCGCGAAAGCCAGGGGAGCAAACGGG